GAUGAACGCUGACAGCAUGCUUAACACAUGCAAGUCGACCUGAAUUUGGGUUUUUUUCUUAGGUUCGGGUGGCGGACGAGCGAGUAACGCGUAAAGAAGUUGCCUCCCAGCUAGGGACAACUUUUGGAAACGAAUGCUAAUACCUAAUAUUAUGAUAAUAGGGCAUCCUAUUAUUAUGAAAGCUAUAAGCGCUGUGAGUGAGCUCUGCGUCCCCUUAGCUAGUUGGGGGGGUAACGGCUCACCAAGGCGAGGAUGGGUAGCCGGCCGGGGAGGGUGAUCGGCCAAAAGGGGACGGGAACACGGCCCUUACUCCUCCGGGGGGCAGCAGUGGGGAAAAUUGGACAAGGGAGCGAGAGUCUGAUAGAGACAUUCUGUGUGGACGAUGGAGUUUUUCGGAAUGUAAAGUGCUUUCAGUUGAGAAGGAGCAAAUGACGGUACCAACAGAAGAAGUGACGGCUAAAUACGUG
rnacentral:rRNA from 1 species